ACAACAAGACGAACCGAUCGCAUCUCGUCUCGAUCGGGACUGUCAAGAUCCGACGAUGGCGAGCAAUGAUGGCUUAAUUCAUAAACAGGAAUCG